CUCCAGGGCUGGGCUGAGCCGGUUUUGGAGCUUUUAUCUCCCUCUGGAGAGCGGCUCCAUCAGCUCCGGCAUCAUCUCAGCAUCCUGAGCGGAGCCAGGCGGGCGGGGACGGGAGGACGCAGCAGCAGCUCUGCCCCAAAAUCCCAGUUUAAACCCAGCCUAAACCCCAAAUUCCAGCCUAAACCCCAUCCCUGCCCUACCACCCCCCUCCCUCACCAUGCUGGACAUUUUCAUCCUGAUGUUUUUCGCCAUCAUCGGCCUGGUGAUCCUGUCCUACAUCAUUUACAUGCUCUGAGGAUGCGGGAGAUGCGGCUCGGCAGCAGCCGGGAGGCGGCCGGCCUCCGCCCGGUUCGGGUCCCUCGGAGCCCUGUGGAGCAGCGUUAACCCCUGCGAGCCCAGCGCGGAGCACGGAGCGCUCACGGAGCCGCCGGGACCGGAGAGGGGGGGGACACGGGAGGGGGCUCCGAGGAGCUGCCAGGACCCGGCUAAUCCCCCUGCCAGGACCUGUGUCCUUCCCCUGCCAGGACCUGAGUCCUUCCCUCUGCCGGGACCCGGCUAAUCCUCCUGCCGGGACCUGUGUCCUUCUCCCUGCCAGGACCUGAGUCCUUUCCCCUGCCAGGACCUGAGUCCUUCCCCCUGCUGGGACCCGGCAAAUCCUCCUUCCAGGACCUGUGUCCUUCCCCUGCCAGGACCCGGCUAAUCCUCCUUCCAGGACCUGUGUCCUUACCCUGCCAGGACCUGUGUCCUUACCCUGCCAGGACCUGAGUCCUUUCCCCUGCAGGACCUGAGUCCUUCUUCCUGCCAGGACCUGUGUCCUUCCCCCUGCCAGGACCCGAGCUUCCCCCUGCCAGGACCUGGGGCUCUCCCGGUGACGCUGGCGGUGUCCCCAGGGGGUGUGAGGGCUCCUGUCCCCCCCUCUGUGUCCUGUCCCCCCUCUGUGUCCUGUCCCCCCCUCUGUGUCCUGUCCCCCUCUCUGUGUCCCGUCCCCUCGGCAUCAGCGCGUCCGAGGCCGCUCGUCUGAGCUUCAAACUCCAAAUUUCAGGAAAUCGCUUCUAUUUUUAAUGAGCAACGUCCGGGGAUGGAAUAAAGAGGAAUGACCCGGGACAGGGA